UUACUCUCUAUAUUAGCUUCAAUUAUCUCCUAUAAGAAAAAGUAAAAACUUGAAAAGUGUCAAAUUAAGCAUCAUACAAUAACAUAAGUAGAAAAGUAAGAAGUGCAUGUGUAACUUUGACAGUGAUUCAAUAGUUAAACAAACAAAUAGAAGAAUCAGUGUAAACCAGCAUUGUGUGAGUUCUAAUGGUACCUAUACAUACCCACUAAAUAGCCUCUUUCAUUGACUAGUU
rnacentral:lncRNA from 1 species